GCCCUGGUAGUAUAGUCCGGUUAGUAUACGGGCCUGUCGAGCCCGUGACCCGGGUUCAAAUCCCGGCCAGGGCGCCA
rnacentral:tRNA from 2 species